AACGAACGCUGGCGGCAUGCCUAACACAUGCAAGUCGAACGAGACCUUCGGGUCUAGUGGCGCACGGGUGCGUAACGCGUGCGAACCUGCCCUUAGGUUCUGAAUAACUCCCCGAAAGGGGUGCUAAUACCGGAUAAUGUCUUCGGACCAAAGAUUUAUCGCCUUUGGAUGGGCCCGCGUUGGAUUAGCUAGUUGGUAGGGUAAAAGCCUACCAAGGCGACGAUCCAUGGCUGGUCUGAGAGGAUGAUCAGCCACACUGGGACUGAGACACGGCCCAGACUCCUACGGGAGGCAGCAGUGGGGAAUAUUGGACAAUGGGCGAAAGCCUGAUCCAGCAAUGCCGCGUGAGUGAUGAAGGCCUUAGGGUUGUAAAGCUCUUUUACCCGGGAUGAUAAUGACAGUACCGGGAGAAUAAGCUCCGGCUAACUCCGUG
rnacentral:rRNA from 1 species